rnacentral:ncRNA from 1 species
CAAAGAUCCUGUUUCUGUUCUGGUUGGUUUUUGGGAAUACAGGAUAAUGAUUAAGAGCGACAGACGGGGGCAUUCGUAUUGCGGCGCUAGAGGUGAAAUUCUGGGACCGUCUCAAGACGAACUACUGCGACAGCAUUUUCCAAGAAUGUUUUCUUUGAUCAAGACCGAAAGUUAGAGGUUGGAUGGCGAUCAGAUACCGCCCUAGUUAUAACCAUAAACGAUGCCAACCAGCGAUCCGCCUGAGUUACUCAAAUGACUCGGCGGGCAGCUUCCUGGAAACCAAAGUAUUUGGGUUCCGGGGGAAGUAUGGUUGCAAAGCUGAAACUUAAAGGAAUUGACGGAAGGGCACCACCAGGAGUGGAGCCUGCGGCUUAAUUUGACUCAACACGGGAAAACUUACCCGGCCCGGACACUGGGAGGAUUGACAGAUUGAGAGCUCUUUCUUGAUUCGGUGGAUGGUGGAGCAUGGGGGUCUUUCCCAGGGCUAAAUGUUUUUUUGGAAGGAGGGGGGAGAGGAGGUCCCAGCAAAAUGGAAGAUUUUGGGGGGUGGAGCGGGUCUCAUGGGACCCCCCCCCCCCUGGCUCCCUGGCUACGUGCCGUCUGCCGGUUAUAGGUAUCAAUCAAUCACUCAAAUCUUUAUUCAACAUCGCACAGAUGUUGGGGGUCGCAGACAAAAAGCCUAAAAAGGCUUGACUAAGGGUCUGCGCCCCCUACAAAAACUUUGCAUUGCAACAGGGGCGCGUCAUAACAAAAAUAGAUAAUCACAUUGGAGCUGCGUCUCAAUUUUGCGAACGAAACACUGUAUGAGCGGUAUAGCAACAGAAAAAAGAUAACAUACUGUGACUUGCAAAUGCUAAUCAACAUGUAAUGUCGUUUAUUCCUGCAAAAUUGGUGCCGCAUCUCUGUAAGUAUUGCCAAAACCUUUUGGCAUCCGCAUUCCUUUUCAUCCCAUCGUUUAGUCUACAAAAAUCAUUUUCCUUAGAACUUUUUUUGUUCAACUUUUAUUCCCUAGGUAUACCUCAGCCAGAGCUGGCAGUUAUGCAAUUACUGUAAUGAAAUUACAGUAAUUUAAUUACUUGUUUCAGUAAUUAGUAAUGUAAUUCAUUACUUUUUGUAGCAGGUAAUUUAGUAAUGUAAUGAAUUACUCCAGCGACGGUAAUUGUAAUUAAAUUACCUAAUUACUUUUUCGCACCAGGCAUAUUUUUUGUGUCCACAAUACACAAGAGCGCUUUUCUUUUUAUUU